GGAAGGAUCAUUAAAGUAUAUUGAAUUCUAAUUCAUAUCUACCCACCCUGUGUACCUUCUUACUGUUGCUUCCAUGGGACUUGGCUACGCCACGUCGGCCUCUGGGCUGGUGAGCUCCCAUGGGAGGAAAUCAAAACUCCUUUUUGUACAUGACGUCUGUCUGAAGUGUUUGUUAUAAACGUUAAAACUUUCAACAACGGAUCUCUUGGUUCUCGCAUCGAUGAAGAACGCAGCGAAAUGCGAUAAGUAGUGUGAAUUGCAGAAUUCAGUGAAUCAUCGAAUCUUUGAACGCACAUUGCGCCUCCUGGUAUUCCGGGAGGCAUGCCUGUCCGAGCGUCAUCAAAAACCUCAGUCUCUGAUUCAUCAUUGAUUGGCCCUGCUUCGGAUGCUUUGUGCAUCCCCUGCGAAAUUCAAUGGCGAGGAGCCACGCAGCCCUAGCGUAGUAUUAGUAUCUCGCGACGGAUGUGUGAGCGCUUCUGCCGAAACCCCCCUAUAUCUUAGUUUUUGACCUCGGAUCAGGUAGGGAUACCCGCUGAACUUAAGCAUAUCAAUAAGCGGAGGAAAAGAAACCAACAGGGAUUGCCUUAGUAACUGCGAGUGAAGCGGCAAAAGCUCAAAUUUGAAAUCUGACGCUUCCGGCGUCCGAGUUGUAAUUUGGAGAGACCUCUUCGGGAGUGAAAGCCGGUCCAAGUUCCUUGGAACAGGACGUCACAGAGGGUGAGAAUCCCGUGUCUGGCCGGCUGUUUCAUUCCAUGUGAAGAAUCUUCGACGAGUCGAGUUGUUUGGGAAUGCAGCUCAAAAUGGGUGGUAAAUUUCAUCUAAAGCUAAAUAUUGGCGAGAGACCGAUAGCGCACAAGUAGAGUGAUCGAAAGAUGAAAAGCACUUUGAAAAGAGAGUUAAAAAGUACGUGAAAUUGUUGAAAGGGAAGCGCUUGAGACCAGACUCAAUUUGUGGUGAUCAGCAGUCCAUCUGGGCUGUGCACUUGCCAUACAUUGGGACAGCAUCGGUUCUGACCGUGUGAUAAAGGCUCGGGGAAUGUGGCUCCUCUCGGGGAGCGUUAUAGCCCUGGGCGCAAUGGCACGAGUUGAGACCGAGGACCGCGCUUCGGCUAGGAUGCUGUCAUAAUGGUCUUCAGCGACCCGUCUUGAAACACGGACCAAGGAGUCUAACAUCUAUGCGAGUGUUCGGGUGGAAAACCCCUGCGCGUAAUGAAAGUGAACGGAGGUGGGAACCCUUCGGGGUGCACCAUCGACCGAUCCUGAUGUCUUCGGAUGGAUUUGAGUAAGAGCAUAGCUGUUGGGACCCGAAAGAUGGUGAACUAUGCCUGAAUAGGGUGAAGCCAGAGGAAACUCUGGUGGAGGCUCGCAGCGGUUCUGACGUGCAAAUCGAUCGUCAAAUUUGGGUAUAGGGGCGAAAGACUAAUCGAACCAUCUAGUAGCUGGUUCCUGC
rnacentral:misc_RNA from 1 species